AUUGAACGCUGGCGGCAUGCCUUACACAUGCAAGUCGAACGGCAGCGGGGGAGAAGCUUGCUUUUCCUGCCGGCGAGUGGCGAACGGGUGAGUAAUACAUCGGAACGUGCCCUGUAGUGGGGGAUAACUAGUCGAAAGAUUAGCUGAUACCGCAUACGACCUGAGGGUGAAAGUGGGGGACCGCAAGGCCUCAUGCUAUAGGAGCGGCCGAUGUCUGAUUAGCUAGGUGGUGGGGUAAAGGCCUACCAGGGCGACGAUCAGUAGCUGGUCUGAGAGGACGAUGGGCCACACUGGGACUAAGACACGGCACAGAAUCCUACGGGAGGCAGCAGUGGGGAAUUUUGGACAAUGGGCGAAAGCCUGAUCCAGCAAUGCCGCGUGUGUGAAGAAGGCCUUCGGGUUGUAAAGCACUUUUGUCCGGAAAGAAAUGGCUCUGGUUAAUACCUGGGGUCGAUGACGGUACCGGAAGAAUAAGGACCGGCUAACUACGUGCCAGCCGCCGCGGUAA
rnacentral:rRNA from 1 species